rnacentral:rRNA from 1 species
UGGGGAAUAUUGCACAAUGGAGGGAACUCUGAUGCAGCGACGCCGCGUGAACGAAGAAGGCUUUCGAGUCGUAAAGUUCUUUUAUAUGGGAAGAUAAUGACGGUACCAUAAGAAAAAGCCCCGGCUAACUACGUGCCAGCAGCCGCGGUAAUACGUAGGGGGCUAGCGUUGUCCGGAAUCACUGGGCGUAAAGGGUUCGCAGGCGGAAAUGCAAGUCAGGUGUAAAAGGCAGUAGCUUAACUACUGUAAGCAUUUGAAACUGCAUAUCUUGAGAAGAGUAGAGGUAAGUGGAAUUUUUAGUGUAGCGAUGAAAUGCGUAGAUAUUAAAAAGAAUACCGGUGGCGAAGGCGACUUACUGGGCUCAUUCUGACGCUGAGGAACGAAAGCGUUGGUAGCAAACAGG